rnacentral:lncRNA from 1 species
GUGAUAGUUGAGAGAAAGAGCUGUUCUAUGGGUUCAACCAGGUGAUAGUUGAGAGAAAUAGCUGUUCUAUGGGUUCAACCAAGUGAUAGUUGAGAGAAAUAGCUGUUCUAUGGGUUCAACCAGGUGAUAGUUGAGAGAAAGAGCUGUUCUAUGGGUUCAACCAGGUGAUAGUUGAGAGAAAGAGCUGUUCUAUGGGUUCAACCAGGUGAUGUAGUGAGAGAUAGAGCUGUUCUAUGGGGUUCAACCAGGUGAUAGUUGAGAGAAAGAGCUGUUCUAUGGGUUCAACCAGGUGAUGUAGUGAGAGAAAGAGCUGUUCUAUGGGGUUCAACCAGGUAAUAGUUGAGAGAAAUAGCUGUUCUAUGGGUUCAAUCAGGUGAUAGUUGAGAGAAAGAGCUGUUCUAUGGGUUCAACCAGGUGAUAGUUGAGAGAAAGAGCUGUUCUAUGGGGUUCAACCAGGUGAUAGUUGAGAGAAAGAGCUGUUCUAUGGGGUUCAACCAGGUGAUAGUUGAGAGAAAGAGCUGUUCUAUGGGUUCAACCAGGUGAUGUAGUGAGAGAAAGAGCUGUUCUAUGGGUUCAACCAGGUGAUGUAGUGAGAGAAAGAGAUGUUCAAAUGUGGACCUAGAAGGCAGAGACAAGCCAACCCCCGAUAUCAUUUGGGGGCCUUUAAGGGGGUACAUUAGGGGAGAGAUAGUCCAACCCCCGAUAUCAUUUGGGAGGCCUUUAAGGGGGUACAUUAGGGGAGAGAUAAUCCAACCCCCGUUAUCAUUAGGGGAGGCCUUUAAGGGGGUACAUUAGGGGAGAGAUAAUCCAACCCCCGUUAUCAUUAGGGGAGGCCUUUAAGGGGGUACAUUAGGG